UGUAAUAAUUUCACUUUUUGCCGUUAUCAUUUUAAUUACACUUGUUUCAUCUCAGGUAUUUCAUCUGAAAGGACAAAUAAAUGAGGAUGAAAUUAAAACAACCCUACAGGAACUCAAACAUCAGCUGGAGAAAAAUGCUACUAAUGAAACAUCGUAUUCCACCAUCUGCGUCUCUCAUGGCAGCAACAGCACACAUUCAGUAUUUCGUCUAAAAGGCCAAGAGAUUAAGGAUAAGGAUAGAAUUGAAACAAUCCUGCAGAAACUUGAAUGUCAGCUAAGGAAAAACACUUAUUCCACCAUCACCGUCUAUAGUGGGAACAGCAAACAUUCAAUGAGGCACUAUGGAGUCUCCAUGUCCACCACUGGUUCUUCUGCAGGAAAAAUCAUGGUUGCUGCAUCCUGCCUUAAGUACUGGGAGCAAGAUGUAGCUGAUGCAGUCAUGAGCUACUAUCCUGAAAAAACCGUGAAGACAUACUUUGACUUAACCAUCAAACUUCCUGAUUGGGUAAGGUGUCAAGCCUUUGAGCUCAGGAGUGGAAAAGUAAAAAUUCCUUGCCGUUCUUGUAGCAACAUGUUUGGCUUGGAUACAACUGACACACAGGGGUGGGUUUAUGGCAACUGUGCUGAAGCUGAAAGUUUGAGCAAUUUGCUUAGAAAGGAAAAAGUUGGAGUACAAAGAAUUAUAAACAGAGCAGUAAACAGGAAAAAGGCUGCAAAUGAUGUUAGCAAAACUCUUACAAAAGAACUGGAGAAUGUUAAGUUUAUAUGGGAUAACAAGUUCUACACUGCACAAAGAACAAUAGCUGAAAAUGAUGGUGAGGAAGAACCUCUGCUAGAAUAGGCUUUUUUUUACACGAUGAAGAGCAGAUAUUAAAAUGACUCAACUGUAAAGUCACAAACAUCUGAGAUGUCAACAGUUGAGAAUGGGAAUUUUUUUAUUAUUGUGCAUUCCAAGUUUAGUCUCUUUUUAUAGCAAAUCACUUCAGACAGCUUUGUCUCUCCAAGCAGAUAUCAUUGAUAACACAUAACUCUGAAAUUGUAUCUUUUUAUUGCUCUUAUGGCUCUAUAUAGCAUAAUCUGAUUGUGUCUCUAUUGUAACUUGUAUUUUAUACUCCAUGUCUCAGGUUAUCUUUUGAUUUAUUUCCUUCAAUUUAUUCUGUUGUAAAAUACUGUUGAAAGAGCUUUGUUGAAUAUUAAUAACAAUAUUUAUAUGCCAAAUUAAUGCAUAAUUAAGAAAUCCAAGAAAAGUUUUGUAAUUUUAUUUUGUGGUCUUUUAAUCAAUGCUACAGAUGGACUGACCUUAUGGGAUAUAUAAAGUUUUUAGAGUGUGAAUCUGUUAGUUAAUCAUGACAUAUGAAACCAAAAUUGAAUCCUGACAUUUAAUCAAAAGUGGUGCAGAAAAAUGUUAAACUAGAGGUGUUGAAACUUAUAUAACAGAGUUAUAGUAAUACUGAUUAAUAAUUUGCAUCAGUUAAACUACAAGAUUGAUGUCAAAUUAAAGAUGGUAAAAGCUC